UGGGGAAUCUUNNNNGNANNNNNNNGNNAANNNNNNGACGGCCUUCGGGUUGUAAAGCUCUGUUAAUCGGGACGAAAGGUCCUCUUGCGAAUAGUUAGAGGAAUUGACGGUACCGGAAUAGAAAGCCACGGCUAACUACGUGCCAGCAGCCGCGGUAAUACGUAGGUGGCAAGCGUUGUCCGGAAUUAUUGGGCGUAAAGCGCGCGCAGGCGGAUCAGUUAGUCUGUCUUAAAAGUUCGGGGCUUAACCCCGUGAUGGGAUGGAAACUGCUGAUCUAGAGUAUCGGAGAGGAAAGUGGAAUUCCUAGUGUAGCGGUGAAAUGCGUAGAUAUUAGGAAGAACACCAGUGGCGAAGGCGACUUUCUGGACGAAAACUGACGCUGAGGCGCGAAAGCCAGGGGAGCGAACGGGAUUAGAUACCCCGGUAGUCCUGGCCGUAAACGAUGGGUACUAGGUGUAGGAGGUAUCGACCCCUUCUGUGCCGGAGUUAACGCAAUAAGUACCCCGCCUGGGGAGUACGACCGCAAGGUUG
rnacentral:rRNA from 1 species